UACGUAGGGACCAAGCGUUGUUCGGAUUUACUGGGCGUAAAGGGCGCGUAGGCGGCGUGACAAGUCACUUGUGAAAUCUCUGAGCUUAACUCAGAACGGCCAAGUGAAACUGUUGUGCUAGAGUGCAGAAGGGGCAAUCGGAAUUCUUGGUGUAGCGGUGAAAUGCGUAGAUAUCAAGAGGAACACCUGAGGUGAAGACGGGUUGCUGGGCUGACACUGACGCUGAGGCGCGAAAGCUAGGGGAGCAAACGGG
rnacentral:rRNA from 1 species